rnacentral:misc_RNA from 1 species
UUAAGUUCAGCGGGUAUCCCUACCUGAUCCGAGGUCAACCUGAAAAAAAUUGGGGGUUGCUGGCAAGCACACGACCGGACCUCCAGAGCGAGAAGAAUUACUACGCUCGGAGCCGGACGGCACCGCCACUGACUUUAGGGCCCGCCGGGGCGGCGGGGCCCAACACCAAGCUGGGCUUGAUGGGCAGUAAUGACGCUCGG